GUCUUCGUGGUGUAACGGUAGCACACUCGGCUUGUAUUCGAGAGGUCCAAGUUCGAAUCCUGGUGAGGACA